rnacentral:rRNA from 1 species
UGGCUCAUUAAAUCACACCUCAUGUACGGGAUAGUYUCAGUUUCUUGGAUAACUGCGGUAAUUUUGGAGCUAAUACAUUCGAWCGACGCCCGACUCAMGGAGGGGUGUUUUUAUUAGAUCAAAACCAAACCGCUUCGGCGGUCYCUUUGGUGAUUSUGAAUAAUUUUGGGCUGAUCGCACGGUCAUGCACCGGCGACGUAUCCUUCCAAGGUGUGCCCUAUCAACUGUCGACUGUGGCAUAGACGCCCACAGUGGUUUUGACGGGUAACGGGGAAUUAGGGUUCGCUUCCGGAGAGGGAGCCUGAGAAACGGCUACCACUUCUAAGGAAGGCAGCAGGCACGCAAWUUACC